AUCUGCCCCCAGACCCCGAAUGUGCUCAAUCUUGUCUGAUCUUGGCAGCUAAGCCGGGUCAGGCCUGGUUAGUGCUUGUAUGGGAGACCUCCCAGGAACACCGGGUGGCCCUGAUU
rnacentral:rRNA from 1 species